AAGACUAUAAGCAGAGGACACAGA
rnacentral:piRNA from 1 species